UACGUAGGGGGCAAGCGUUGUCCGGAAUUAUUGGGCGUAAAGCGCGCGCAGGCGGUUGUUUAAGUCUGGUGUUUAAUCCUGGGGCUCAACCCCAGUUCGCAUCGGAAACUGAAUGACUUGAGUGUAGGAGAGGAAAGUGGAAUUCCACGUGUAGCGGUGAAAUGCGUAGAGAUGUGGAGGAACACCAGUGGCGAAGGCGACUUUCUGGCCUAAAACUGACGCUGAGGCGCGAAAGCGUGGGGAGCAAACAGG
rnacentral:rRNA from 1 species